rnacentral:lncRNA from 1 species
AUUAACUCAAGUUGGUCAAUGACUAAUUUUCCCCUUUCACUUGGGCCUUUUGGAUCUCUAAAUCAAUGGGCUUUAGUGGCCCAUUUCCUUAAUCUUUCUUGCACUUUGUUUGGGCCCAAUUUUGUUAGUAGUGAAUGAAUGUAGUUGGGCCUAUUAUAUAAAAAUCUUGGGCUGAACAUCUUGGCCCAAUAUAAUGUUAAACCAUUGGCUUAAAUAGCCUCCCUAACUUGGGCUUCGUUUGUCACAAGACUUGGAAGGUUUCGGUGUUAAGCCUUGUCUUCGUUCCCCUUUCUUUUUACUAACGUCUAGACUUCAAGUGAGUUCACUUAUGAAUGAAUUCUUCUCCCUCAUGUAUAUAUAAUUUUAAGCUAAGCACACAGGUGACUCACCUGCUAGCUUCCUAAGUUCCAUAAGCAUGUCAAUGAUUUUCUCCGUUUAAGGCCACAGUCUCUAAAUAGACUUCCAUAUAGUGCCCCAAUCUAACACUUGAACACUUGAAAAAUUUUGGUAGUAAUUAAAUCAAGUCGUAUGUCAUUUUAUGUGAACAUUAC